CAGGACGAACGCUGGCGGCAUGCCUAACACAUGCAAGUCGAACGGAGUUAUUUGGAUUCGUCUGGAUAACUUAGUGGCGGACGGGUGAGUAACACGUGAGCAACCUGCCCUUCAGAGGGGGACAACAGUUGGAAACGACUGCUAAUACCGCAUAACAUAUACUUAAGGCAUCUUGAGUAUAUCAAAGAUUUAUCGCUGAGGGAUGGGCUCGCGUCUGAUUAGAUAGUUGGUGAGGUAACGGCCCACCAAGUCUACGAUCAGUAGCCGGACUGAGAGGUUGAACGGCCACAUUGGGACUGAGAUACGGCCCAGACUCCUACGGGAGGCAGCAGUGGGGAAUAUUGGUCAAUGGGGGCAAACCUCUGAACCAGCAAUGCCGCGUGAAGGAAGAAGGCCUUCGGGUUGUAAACUUCUUUGACCAGGGACGAUAAUGACGGUACCUGGAAAACAAGCCACGGCUAACUACGUGCCAGCCGCCGC
rnacentral:rRNA from 1 species